rnacentral:lncRNA from 1 species
AACUGAAGAGGAUACCUAAGUGGAACCACUCUAUAGCGAGACCAAAACCAUCUUGUAUAUCAGGUGUAUUUAUGUUCAAAUGUACUUUUUGAUUUAUUAAGCUCUGAUAUUAUGAAAGCAAAAUGUGAAUGUUCAUGCUUCAAUGUUUUACUCUCUAUUGGGUAUGUGCUAUUAACUGGCAUGAAGUUGGCUUUGCCAAUUAACAAGGAGUUAAAGAUCGUGCUCUGAGCUAGUACUAGCCCGAGUGUAGUGCGCACAGAAGUAAGAACUGGGUAGAACUUGGCCAGGUUCCUCAGUUCUGAUGAAGGGAAUCGUAUGUGGAUGAAAUUUCCUCGACGAUCAUACAGUUAUUGUAUGCUUUUGAUGUAUGAUUUGUACUUUCAAAGCUUCAUAUGCAUACUGUUAAGCAUGAAACAUUUUAUUAUACGGUUCUUUUCAAAUAUUUUAUAAACGGCAAUAGCACACUGAGUACGAUAGUGCUCAGCCAAGUCUUUUUAAAAUGUUUGCAGGUUGAGCGGCGGAUGUGGAGUGUGGUGCUGAGAUGAAGAUCCUUUUUACUAUUGUAUAUAACUAGUUCCUUUAAUGGAACAACUCUUUUGUGUAUCUCCACCCGCUUCCUAUUUUGUAAAUCAUAACGACUCUUGUACGCUUUGCUAAUGUAAAUUAAUGUUAUCUUACACUUUGGGUUCAGACCAUUCUCUACUCAGUUAAAUUCGGUUUACAUUCACUUCUAGUUAUU